AUUGUGACUGUGUACUUUGGUAGGUCUUACAGGUAGGUAAAGUUUGUAGCCUUACUAGUUUCCGUCGUUGAAAUUUAAUUUUUCAACAAUUUUCCGGCAACGGUUAUGUUUUCCAGUGAAAUCAAUAUCUCGUAUACGGUUUAUUAUUCAUUAUCGGUCGCUGUAGAAACAACAUCAAGCGAUUGAUGAAAAGGAAGAUUAUCAUUUGAUUCCCGGAUUCAAUUCGCUCGAAUCCGACGGAAAAUCGCAGGAAAAACUCCACCGGACAGAGCCUUGGAUCAACUGAUGCUAUCAAGCAAUGCUAAGCAAUAUUUCACCAGGUAUAUUAUCAUUUGAUUUGAUGCGAAAAUAAAAUAGAGUUUAAUGAAA